CGCCGUGAUAUUGCUGGAAUAUUGCUAAAAGCGGCGUAAAACCAAACUCACUCACUCACACAGCGUUCCGGGGUGUGAAGCCCAUUUCAGUUGUGACCCACCAUGAUAUUACUGGAAUGUUGCAAAAAUGAGUGUAAGCCAUGCUAACUGUUAAAGUAUAUUUCUUUUCUAAACUGCAAAAUUGCCCUGAGAACGUUACCAUGCAGAUGAACAGGAUUGUAUAUUUGGCAUCAGCUCAAGAAAUACAAAAAGGAAAGUUCCCAUUUAUCCUCCUGUUGAUGUGCAGAUAUACAUGUCAGUACAGAUAUUUAACUUCAGUUUAGUGUGGAUAUUUGAGGGACUCUUCAGCUGCAAUUACCAGUCAGUGGACCAGGAAGUGUAAAGUGCCUUGUAUUCCCCAGUAUUGUUUAUUUGUUAUGUUCAUAUAUUAACAGAUUUGACAGUAAUAUACUAAGUAUUGUGUUAUAGUAUUGUAUAUAACAUGUACAUUUUGCAACAGGCUGUGUAUUGGCAAAUAAACGGUCUAUUCAGUGAAGCAGUAGGUGAUGGUAUGUUGACAACCCUACAACUAGGGCUGUGUAUUGGCAAAUAAACGGUCUAUUCAGUGAAGCAGUAGGUGAUGGUAUGUUGACAACCCUACAACUAGGGCUGUGUAUUGGCAAAUAAACGGUCUAUUCAGUGAAACAGUAGGUGAUGGUAUGUUGACAACCCUACAACUAGGGCUGUGUAUUGGCAAAUAAACGGUCUAUUCAGUGAAGCAGUAGGUGAAUCGAUGGUAUGUUGACAACCCUACAAUUAGGGCUGUGUAUUGGCAAAUCCCAAACGGUCUAUUCAGUGAAAUUCGGUCACCAAAAAUUGAGAAUUUGAGAGUCCUUAAAGCUCAUCAGAUGCCAGCUUUUAGGAUGAUUCAGCUUCAUUUUGCACUGACAUAUUAAAUAGCUUUGGUUUUAUAAUUGACAUUCAGAACUGCCCAUUUCAGGUCAUUUUCAAGAUGCAUAAAUCAAGAAUGCUAGUCUGAAUGAUUUGCUCACUCAUAAUGAGAAUUUAGAUGUUUUGAAACUGAGAAGUUGAUAAGAAAAAGUGAUGCUACAGCCCAUUAGAGUUGUUAUGGUAUCAGAGUAUAAGAUCUGAAUUUAAAGGUAUUAAAGCCAAAAAUAUGUGAUAGAUUUGCCCACUGUAUAUUUACAUAGUCCUGGUUUCAAAGGCUUUGAAUAAGUCUCAAUGAGAUAGCCUCAAUUACUUUGCAAUGGGUGAUCAUGAAGUAGAUUAUUUGCCUGAGUAAAUUGAAUCUGUAAAGAAUGCAUUUUGAUGCAUAUUUCUUGAGGGUUAUUAAACUUGAACUUCAAGUUAUGUAUCUUCAAAAUAAAGAUUCAUAGCAAAUGA